AUGGCAGCUGCCACUGUUCAAGAAUUUACUAAUUCUCUGAAAAUUGAUUUGUUUUUCUGUAGCAAGUUGUCGUAUGGGGACGCACGGCGGGAGGUCGACGGCGGCCAUCGUCUCCGAGCUCAUGAACACCCAGAUUUGAUAGGGAGCAGAACAUGGAUCUCGAUUUUUGGCAGCUCUGUUCUGCUAGCAUGGUUAGAGCACCACGUAGCAGUGUUCGGGAGCGCAUCUUUGCAAAAAUCUAUACAAGUAUCAGAACCGGUUGUGGAGAUGGGAAAAAGGAAAUCCCUAAUUGCAUAUCUGAAACCAUGA
rnacentral:rRNA from 1 species